AUUGGGGACAUUUUGCAUUCAU
rnacentral:miRNA from 2 species